rnacentral:lncRNA from 1 species
AAAUUUUGCUCCUGUAAGGAUGCUACCUCUGCUAUUGAGACUGCAUGGUGUUGAAGACAGAAAGGGCAUGUUGAGCGGGGAACUUCAUUUCUGCCUGAUUCCUGCAUGUCUGGGGGAGACAGUGCAUCAGAGCCCCACUGUCCACAGAGAUGGGGUUUCACCACCUUGCCCACACUGGACUUGAACUCUUGGGCUCAAACAAUCCUCUCGCCUCAGCCUCCCAGAGUGUUGGGAUUACAGGCAUAAGCCACCAUGCCUGGCCAAAUUUAAGCAUUUUAAAGUGUAUGCUGCGAUGGCAUCAAAUGCAU